rnacentral:rRNA from 1 species
CCUACGGGUGGCAGCAGUGAGGAAUAUUGGUCAAUGGCCGCGAGGCUGAACCAGCCAAGUAGCGUGAAGGAUGACUGUCCUAAGGGUUGUAAACUUCUUUUAUCAAGGAAUAAAAUCAGGCACGCGUGCCUUCUUGUAUGUACUUUAUGAAUAAGGAUCGGCUAACUCCGUGCCAGCAGCCGCGGUAAUACGGAGGAUCCGAGCGUUAUCCGGAUUUAUUGGGUUAAAGGGAGGGUAGGUGGGUUGGUAAGUCAGUUGUGAAAAUUUGCGGGUCAAACGUAAAAGUGCAGUUGAAACUGGCAGUCUUGAGUACAGUAGAGGUAGGCGGAAUGCGUGGUGUAGCGGUGAAAUGCUUAGAUAUCACGAAGAACUCCGAUUGCGAAGGCAGCUUACUGGACUGCAACUGACAUUGAUGCUCGAAAGUGUGGGUAUCAAACAGGAUUAGAUACCCGAGUAGUC